GCUCUCUUAGCUCAGUGGUAGCAGCGCCACACUAGUAGUUCCUAACAUUACGAGAUGUGGAGGUCACAGGUUCAAGUCCUGUAGGGAGCA
rnacentral:tRNA from 2 species